AGUCUUAUAUUCAAAAAAAUGAUUUUAAAUUGCAAAUUUAAAGGUGAUAAAAUGUCUAAGGCUU
rnacentral:tRNA from 1 species